GAAGUAAGCUGGGCAAUCGCCGAUGCAGUGCCGAAAGGCCGCAUGGGAGGAAAGUCCGAGCUCCAUAGGGCAGGGUGCCGGAUAACGUCCGGCGGGAGCGAUCCUAGGGAUAGUGCCACAGAAAUGUAGACCGCCGAUGGCUCUCUUAAGGGUACAGGCAAGGUUGCAACGGUGCGGUAAGAGCGCACCAGCAGCUUGGAGACAAGCUGGCUAGGUAAACCCCACCUGGAGCAAGACCGCAUAGGAGUGCAAAUGUGGCUGCCCGUCACGCACUCGGGUAGGUUGCUUGAGCUGGCUGGCAACAGUCGGCCUAGAUAGAUGAUUGCUGCUCCACACGUGCGAGGCAUUUCUUUGAUUGUUUUGCACUUGACGAGAGUGCCGUUUGUAGCACCGGAGUACAGAACUCGGCUUACAGGCUUGCUUCUUGC
rnacentral:RNase_P_RNA from 4 species